CCUACGGGUGGCAGCAGUAGGGAAUAUUGCUCAAUGGGGGAAACCCUGAAGCAGCAACGCCGCGUGGAGGAUGAAGGUUUUCGGAUUGUAAACUCCUUUUGUUAGAGAAGAUAAUGACGGUAUCUAACGAAUAAGCACCGGCUAACUCCGUGCCAGCAGCCGCGGUAAUACGGAGGGUGCAAGCGUUACGCAGAAUCACUGGGCGUAAAGAGCGCGUAGGCGGGUGAGCCAGUCAGAUGUGAAAUCCUAUGGCUUAACCAUAGAACUGCAUUUGAAACUGUUAUUCUAGAGUGUAGGAGAGGAGAGGGGAAUUCUAGGUGUAGGGGUAAAAUGCGUAGAGAUCUGGAGGAAUACUCGUUGCGAAGGCGACCCUCUGGAACAUAACUGACGCUGAUGCUCGAAAGCGUGGGGAGCAAACAGGAUUAGAUACCCGUGUAGUC
rnacentral:rRNA from 1 species